rnacentral:rRNA from 1 species
UGGGGAAUAUUGGGCAAUGGGCGAAAGCCUGACCCAGCAACGCCGCGUGAAGGAAGAAGGCCUUCGGGUUGUAAACUUCUUUGACCAGGGCCGAAAAAAAUGACGGUACCUGGAAAACAAGCCACGGCUAACUCCGUGCCAGCAGCCGCGGUAAUACGUAGGUGGCAAGCGUUAUCCGGGUUUACUGGGGGUAAAGGGCGGGUAGGCGGUUUCGUAAGUCGGAUGUGAAAUUCCCAGGCUUAACCUGGGAGCUGCAUCCGAAACUACAGAACUUGAGUACUGGAGAGGAUAGUGGAAUUCCUAGUGUAGCGGUAAAAUGCGUAGAUAUUAGGAGGAACAUCAGUGGCGAAGGCGACUAUCUGGACAGUAACUGACGCUGAGGCGCGAAAGCGUGGGGAGCAAACA